AGUGAACGCUGGCGGUAGGCCUAACACAUGCAAGUCGAACGGCAGCACAGGAGAGCUUGCUCUCUGGGUGGCGAGUGGCGGACGGGUGAGGAAUACAUCGGAAUCUACUCUUUCGUGGGGGAUAACGUAGGGAAACUUACGCUAAUACCGAAUACGACCUCCGGGUGAAAGCAGGGGAUCGCAAGACCUUGCGCGAUUGAAUGAGCCGAUGUAGGAUUAGCUAGUUGGCGGGGUAAAGGCCCACCAAGGCGACGAUCCGUAGCUGGUCUGAGAGGAUGAUCAGCCACACUGGAACUGAGACACGGUCCAGACUCCUACGGGAGGCAGCAGUGGGGAAUAUUGGACAAUGGGCGCAAGCCUGAUCCAGCCAUACCGCGUGGGUGAAGAAGGCCUUCGGGUUGUAAAGCCCUUUUGUUGGGAAAGAAAAGCACACGGUUAAUACCCGAGUGUUCUGACGGUACCCAAAGAAUAAGCACCGGCUAACUUCGUGCAGCAGCCGCCGUAA
rnacentral:rRNA from 1 species